rnacentral:rRNA from 1 species
AACGAACGCUGGCGGCAUGCCUAACACAUGCAAGUCGAACGAGACCUUCGGGUCUAGUGGCGCACGGGUGCGUAACGCGUGGGAACCUGCCCUUAGGUUCGGAAUAACUCCCCGAAAGGGGUGCUAAUACCGGAUAAUGUCUGCGGACCAAAGAUUUAUCGCCUUUGGAUGGGCCCGCGUUGGAUUAGCUAGUUGGUAGGGUAAAAGCCUACCAAGGCGACGAUCCAUAGCUGGUCUGAGAGGAUGAUCAGCCACACUGGGACUGAGACACGGCCCAGACUCCUACGGGAGGCAGCAGUGGGGAAUAUUGGACACUGGGCGAAAGCCUGAUCCAGCAAUGCCGCGUGAGUGAUGAAGGCCUUAGGGUUGUAAAGCUCUUUUACCCGGGAUGAUAAUGACAGUACCGGGAGAAUAAGCUCCGGCUACCUCCGU